rnacentral:misc_RNA from 1 species
AGCUUCCAGAUAAGCCGCCUUGCAUUGUGGAAAACAGACACUGAAGACAAGUCAUUGAAGUCAUGGGAGAAGAUUGCAGAAUGUACCCUCAGCCUCAGCCCCAAUUAGUUUCCCCUUCUUUUUCUAAUGCUUCUAAUUUGCAAUAAAACCUAACAGGUGUGCUCUUAUCUUCUAGAUGCCAUUUGACAAUCUGCAAUUUUAUGCACUCACCAACCACCUUAUCUUUGGUCCUGUUGUGUUUGUCAGUAUGCCAGU